UAAAUAUUUUAUAAUUUUGAAAUAUUAGAGACAAACGUUUUUUUCAAAAAUUAAAACUAUAAAACUGUAAUCGUUUUCCAUGAAAAUAAUGUUCUGAUGUUAAAUGGAUCACUCAGUACUAAGUGUUCGACUAUUAGUCAUUAUACUUUAUUUAAGAGUAUUGGACUAAAUGAGGAACAAAUAUAUGUAUUGAAUUAUACAAAAAUUGUGAAAAUUCAUACUGUAUAAAUGAAAUCCCAUACAUAUUGAAGAUAGAAUUUGUUAUUAAAAAACCUGAAAAUGUUUUUAAAUACAAAGCAGGGCAAUGGUCUAAACAAAUCACAAAUUGAAGAGUUCGUUACAUUGUAUAAACAUCAUAAGACUGAUACCGGUAGCAUUGAUCCUUUAAAAAUUCAAAGCAUCUUCAAAGAGUUUCAUAUGGUUAUUGAUUCGUAUCAAGAGUUAAUGCUAUUUGAAUCUAAUCAAUCCGCUGCUAUAGAGUUGAUGAUCGUUACGGCAGAACGUUCUAAGGCUAUUCUAAGACGAAAAUAAGUUUAUGGAGUUAAGUACAAAUGAGGUCAAAUCAUUGAUAAUUGGAUUCAUACAACUUGACGGUGAUGGCGACGGUUUACUCUCCAAUAACGAAGCAAAAAUGUUCCUGGAACGUUUUUUCCGAAAAUUUUUAACAUUUAAUUUUAACGAUAUAGAAAUAAACGUGGCGGAAGUCUUAUUGUUCAACUUAUAUAAAAAAUUACCAAUGGAUUUAGAUAUUGAUUUCAUUAUGAAUAUAUUAAAAAAAUAAAUUUAAUUCU